GUGAGUUCCCAGUGCACCCCGACGGCGCAAGCGCCUUGCCCGCGGCCCCGCCGGGCCUGAGGCCCGGGGACCCGCAGCGCUACCUUUUGCCGCCGGCUCUGGGACUGCUGGUGGCCGCGGGCGUGGCCGGCGCUGCGCUCUUGCUGGUCCACGUGCGCCGCCGUGGGCACGCCCAGGAUGCUGGGGCUCGCUUGCUGGCUGGGACCCCGGAGCCGUCAGUCCACGCACUCCCGGAUGCACUCAACAACCUAAGAACGCAGGAGGGUGCCGGGGAUGGCCCGAGCUCGUCCGUAGAUUGGAAUCGCCCUGAAGAUGUAGACCCUCGAGGGAUUUACGUCAUAUCUGCUCCUUCCAUCUACGCUCGGGAGGUAGCG
rnacentral:lncRNA from 1 species